AGAGUUUGAUCCUGGCUCAGAUUGAACGCUGGCGGCAGGCCUAACACAUGCAAGUCGAGCGGGGGAGAUUGCUUCGGUAAUUGACCUAGCGGCGGACGGGUGAGUAAUACUUAGGAAUCUGCCUAUUAAUGGGGGACAACAUCUCGAAAGGGAUGCUAAUACCGCAUACGCCCUACGGGGGAAAGCAGGGGAUCACUUGUGACCUUGCGUUAAUAGAUGAGCCUAAGUCGGAUUAGCUAGUUGGUGGGGUAAAGGCCUACCAAGGCGACGAUCUGUAGCGGGUCUGAGAGGAUGAUCCGCCACACUGGGACUGAGACACGGCCCAGACUCCUACGGGAGGCAGCAGUGGGGAAUAUUGGACAAUGGGGGGAACCCUGAUCCAGCCAUGCCGCGUGUGUGAAGAAGGCCUUAUGGUUGUAAAGCACUUUAAGCGAGGAGGAGGCUCCUGUAGUUAAUACCUACAGAGAGUGGACGUUACUCGCAGAAUAAGCACCGGCUAACUCUGUGCCAGCAGCCGCGGUAAUACAGAGGGUGCGAGCGUUAAUCGGAUUUACUGGGCGUAAAGCGUGCGUAGGCGGCUUUUUAAGUCGGAUGUGAAAUCCCCGAGCUUAACUUGGGAAUUGCAUUCGAUACUGGGAAGCUAGAGUAUGGGAGAGGAUGGUAGAAUUCCAGGUGUAGCGGUGAAAUGCGUAGAGAUCUGGAGGAAUACCGAUGGCGAAGGCAGCCAUCUGGCCUAAUACUGACGCUGAGGUACGAAAGCAUGGGGAGCAAACAGGAUUAGAUACCCUGGUAGUCCAUGCCGUAAACGAUGUCUACUAGCCGUUGGGGCCUUUGAGGCUUUAGUGGCGCAGCUAACGCGAUAAGUAGACCGCCUGGGGAGUACGGUCGCAAGACUAAAACUCAAAUGAAUUGACGGGGGCCCGCACAAGCGGU
rnacentral:rRNA from 1 species